GAAAGGAUAAGACCUUGUGAGUGUGACAGGAAGAAAGCAAUACCCAUGUUAGCUAAGAUGCAGAAAUUAUUAUGAAGUUAGCAUGGCAGUGUAGCAAACUCAACAACAACUGAACAAAGUUGUCUUGCGGAAGUGUGUGGAAGUAAGUUAGUCGUUGAACCUGCUACAAGAUGAAGCUGCCCGGCUAGAGCUACCUGCUGCAGAAAAGAGAAAAGCACAGUAUGGCAUCUCAGCUGAUCAUCAUGAACUUCAUGUAGUUACAAUACAUCAACCAAUACAGAUUAUUGUGAACGGCAUCUCAGAACGCACAACUCGUCGGUCCUUAUUACAGAUAAGCUAUUGCAGCAGACGACCACACCUGGUUCCACUCCUAUCAGCUAAAAACAAGAAUAACCGGCUCCAGUGGGCACGCGAUCACCAACACCUGGACAAUUGAGGAGUGGAAAAACAUAGCCUGGUCUGAUGAAUCCUGGUUCCUGUUGCGUCAUGCUGACGGAUGAGUUACGAUUUGGUAUAAGAAGCAUAAGUCCAUGGCCCCAUAAUGCCAAUUGAGCAACGCUUCCAUGCCCCAAAGAAUUCAGGCUAUUCUUGAAGCAAAGGAAGGUCCGACCCGGUACUAAAUGGGCGUACCUAAUAAACUGGCGACUGAGUGUAUGUUUCUAUUUUAUGCAGAACUGGGAGGUUGUAAAAAGGGGAUGAGAUUACAUUAAAACAUUAUUAGGUCUAUAUUCUAAAAUACAAUGGUAGGUAGUUGACUGAACUUUAUAAACAAAUGUGAAUAUUCAUCAUUUAUUAUUAUUAGAAUUCCAAUUAUUAUUAACAAUCAAACAAUGUUUCCCAUUUUAAAGUCAAUUAUGAGCAGGUGACCUAAUAACAUAAUACCCUCACAUCUGGCCUAUGCCUAUAUCUCUUUCAUAUCUCUUUCACACUCUAUGACACAUGCAUGCAAAAAAGACAGACUCACUCACCGAAGCUCUAAUUUUCUCCCAUUGGCACACACACUCUGCCAACCAGUCAAGCGGAUCUCUCUCUCUCGAACGGGCACAGUAAUAGUUAAAAAAUGGGCAUGGAAUACAGCAGUUCGCAAUACUGCCUAUGACGCUUAAUGUGCUGUUACUGUAAUAUCUGCAUAUAAAGUUCCUUCAGAAGGUAUUCAUACCCCUUGACUAUUUUCCAUUUUGUUGUGUUACAGCCUUAAUUCAAAAUGGAUUAAAUACACACAAUACACAAUACACAAUGACAAAGUGAAAAUACUUUUUUUGUGCAAAUAUAUUGAAAAUGAAAUACAAAAAUAUCUAGUUUACAUACAGUACAAGUCAAAAGUUUGGACACACCUCAUUCAUGGGUUUUUCUUAAUUUGUACUAUUUUCUACAUUGUAGAAUAGUACUGUAGUGAAGACAUCAAAAUUAUGAAAUAACACAUAUGGAAUCAUGUAGUAACCAAAAAAGUGUUAAACAAAUAAAAAUAUAUUUUAUAUUAUUUUAAGUAGCCAACCUUUGCCUUGAUUACAGCUCUGCACACUCUUGGCAUUCUCUCAACCAGCUUCACCUGGAAUGCUUUUCCAACUGUCUUGAAGCAUUUCCCACAUAUGCUGAGCACUUGUUGGCUGCUUUUCCUUCACUCGGUCCAACUCAUCCCAAACCAUCUCAAUUGGGUUGAAGUCGGGUGAUUGUGGAGGCCAGGUCAUCUGAUGCAGGUGUGUUGGGUCAGUGUCCUGUUGAAAAACAAAUUAUAGUCCCACUAAGCGCAAACCAGAUAGGAUGGCGUAUCGCUGCAGAACGCUGUGGUAGCCAUGUUGGUUUAAGUGUGCCUUAAAUUCUGAAUAAAUCCCAGACAGUGUCACCAGCAAUGCACCUCCACACCUCCUCCUCCAUGCUUCACGGUGGGAACCACACAUGCGGAGAUCAUCUGUUCACCUACUCUGCGUCUCACAAAGACACAGUGGUUGGAACCAAAAAUCUAAUUUUGAUUCAUCAGCCCAAAGGACAGAUUUCCACCUUUCUAAUUUCUGAAAUCCUCAGAUGUUUCCUAAUGACACAAAAUGUAAUUUAAUUGUCAUUGGGGUACAAUUAGGACUAAAAUAAUAGUGUCCCAGUUUAUCUAACCUGCUCUCCCAGUCUACCAAAGGGAAACUGAAAAUAUGGUUUUGACUCAGUGUACACAAAUGGGUGUGUCAUGCAUCCUGUGAAUAUGAUAUCAAAAUGUUAUUGAAUUAUUUUGACUAGAAAACAUCUUGACAAAUUCAGAAAUGUAUCAUGUUGUGCUAAUGUGUUGAACAUCUGAAAUCUAUGAAUGAAAUAUUUUACACACACAUGAAGGUAACCAUAACAAAUCAUUUAUAAUAAAAAAAACAUAAAUGUGAAAAAUUGGUGGAUUUAGCAUUUUCAAAAUAAACUCAUCAAAUUAAGAUCUGUAAAGAAAGUGGAGCAUCGAGAAGUGGCAACAAACACAAGACAAAGUAAGAACGCAAAAUAUAUUGGCAAAGGAAGGAAAAUAAUUUCACAGUAGUUACAACGAAACUGGCCAAAUUGUUAGCCUUAUGGGGAGUAUUUCAUAGUCAUAGCCUACACAUGUUUUACAUCAGUAGAAAACAGGGUUGUUGUCAAUUCUGAAUUGAGUUCCAAUACCAUUGAAAUUCUUGAAUUUGAAUUUGAGUAGGCCAUACCCCCACAUGAAGCAGAAUUAAUUAAUUACAUUUGUAGAAUUAAUUAAUUGAAUUUGUAGAAUUAGUAGAAUUAAAUUACAUUCUUAUUUAUUCUUCACAUCAUGUAUGGUUACCAAGUACCAUGUAGCAUAAUGUUGAAACAUUUCAUUUUUAAAACUGAUUCUCCUGAAACAAUUUUAAGUAAUUACAGUGGUCUGGAAAUAUUCUAAGACCAUGUUCUGGGUUGUCUAUGAUAAUUAAUCAUUCCCUUAAUGUUUUUACAUAUCAGAAAAAAAUACAUUUCCCAGAAUGCAUUAGAUCAAACACUACAGUAUGGAAGGGAAUGAUGUUAACAUCUCAAGCCAAAUACGAAUAUUGUUUGACGUCUUUGAGUUAUAAUCAAAGUAAUAUUUGAAAAUGUAUGUGUAUUCUUUGCGUUAAUAUGUGGCAUAACCUUUGAUAAAUAAUUUGUCAAAUAAAUGAGACUUUCAUGUUUCACAUCUCAGUUGAA